rnacentral:misc_RNA from 1 species
GCACUAUAAAAAAAAAGGCACCCACUAGCUAAAAGCAGAAAGAGAAUGUGUAUAGUUAGUUACAAAGAAUUAUCCACUAGCUAAAAGCAGACAAUGCAUGUGUAUAGUUGUUCUUCAUAAGCAGUAGAGGCCACUACCUUUUCUAGAUCAAUCAAACAAAAUUAGAGAACACAGCCAUAAACAACAUUCAUCAAUUUCUUGUGAAUAUUUCCAUACAAUUAAAA